rnacentral:lncRNA from 1 species
GAAGAAUUAGUGUUGGAGUUGGUGUUUGAAAUGACAUUUUUCUAUAGUUUCCAAAACCUAAUAAUUUUGUUUCACAUUGUUUUCUUUCCAAACACAUGUUAGCUUUUGCUUUUGGAAUGUUGUCCCAAGACUUUUUAAAAUCUUAAUGUUAAUUAAAAAGAUUGACAUAUAUUGUUGUCAGAAGAAUUCCAUUUCAAAAAGAUUGAAUGACUUAAGUACUUUUUGUUUUGAGGGAGAUCAGAGUGAUGAAAUUAACUAUUCUGCAUUAGUGUUGAAUGUUAUGGAAGAUAUUACGUGCAAUCUUUUUCAAGAAUAUCAUACGUAUUUUUUCUUACUCUGAUCUUGCCGUCACGUAUUUUGUCGCAAUUAAUGUGUGUUAGAGGGAUUGUCAAGAGAAUCGGCCCAGGUAUGUUAAGGCUAUCCCUUCUUUCCUUUUGGCAUGAUUCGAAUAAUACAAAUAAAAUGAGCAAAAUACGCAAUUUUCAUAAAUGACUAUAUUCAUAGAAAUACUAGAGAUGCGUAUGUUCUUAAUUCCCCAUGUGUCAUAUUAUUCUAUCAUCUGUUCAUGGGUCUCAGAAAAUACGUAGGUUGAUAAAGUUUAUUUCAUGAUAUUAAUCAGAGACAUAAUGGUCUUAUGACGUACUGAGAGAUUUUAUUAGCAUAUUUCAUAUGCAUUUCAUGCAUUUAUACAUGCACAUUGACCAAUGACUAGAUUGCGUUAUAUACGCGUAUAUAUAUAUAUAUAUAUAUAUAUAUAGGAUAUGGGAAAGGUUAUGGCGUUAUAUACGCACUACCACCUGAUCAGCUAGUAUAAGUUGAUGAUUUUGCCUAUAGUGGCCGAGAUGAUAUGAUGGGAUGCCCUUAGAGGCCUGAUGAUGUUAUGAAACAUACACCUAUGCACGACAUGACAUUCAUACGCAUAUGCAUGACAUUGUAAUUAUUUCAUGAUUUACAGAGUUAUCCUGACUUAUAGGUCGAGCCAUUUACUCUAUCUUUCUUCCAUGUCUAUUCUGUACUUAUUUAUGUACCUUAUAUACUCAGUACAUUAUUCGUACUGACGUCCCUUUUGCCUGGGGACGCUGUGUUUCAUGUCCGCAGGUCCCGAUAGACAAGUCGAGAGUCCUCUAAAUAGGCUAUCAGCUUAGCGAAAGAUGUUGGUGAUCUCCAUUUGCUCCGGAGUUGCUUGUUUGGUCAGUAUGAUUUAGACACAUAUUGUUUGGUAUGGCGGGGCCCUGUCCCGACCUUUACGUUAAGUGUGUAUUCUUAGAGGCUUGUAGAUAGAUGUCAUGUAUAAGAAUGCUUGUAUGGCCUUGCCGGCCUAUUUUUUGAGUUUACAAAUGACCAUGUUGGCAUUAUAGGCCUGUAUGUUACAGGUAAAAGUUUU